rnacentral:rRNA from 1 species
CUAAGAAUAUUCCGCAAUGGAGGAAACUCUGACGGAGCGACGCCGCGUGGAUGAUGAAGGUCGGAAGAUUGUAAAAUCCUUUUAUGACUGAGGAAUAAGCCGGGUGAGAGAAACGCCUGGUGGUGACUGUAGGUCAUGAAUAAGCAACGGCUAAUUACGUGCCAGCAGCCGCGGUAACACGUAAGUUGCGAGCGUUGUUCGGAAUUAUUGGGCGUAAAGGGCAUGUAGGCGGUAUUGCAAGCCUGGUGUGAAAGGCAGGGGCUCAACCUCUGGACUGCGCUGGGAACUGCGAUACUAGAGUCGCUGAGGGGCAAUCAGAAUUCCAGGUGUAGGGGUGAGAUGCUCAGAUAUCAUGAAGAACUCCAAUCGCGAAGGCAGGCAUCCGGCGGAACUGACACUGAGGCUCGAAAGUGCGGGUAUCAAACAGGAUUAGAUACCCUGGGUAGU